GACUAGAAGAGUCCGCAAAGUUGACGGUA
rnacentral:sRNA from 1 species